rnacentral:rRNA from 1 species
AGUGAACGCUGGCGGUAGGCCUAACACAUGCAAGUCGAACGACAGCACAGUAAGAGCUUGCUCUUACGGGUGGCGAGUGGCGGACGGGUGAGGAAUACAUCGGAAUCUACUUUUUCGUGGGGGAUAACGUAGGGAAACUUACGCUAAUACCGCAUACGACCUACGGGUGAAAGCAGGGGAUCUUCGGACCUUGCGCGAUUGAAAGAGCCGAUGUCGGAUUAGCUAGUUGGCGGGGUAAAGGCCCACCAAGGCGACGAUCCGUAGCUGGUCUGAGAGGAUGAUCAGCCACACUGGAACUGAGACACGGUCCAGACUCCUACGGGAGGCAGCAGUGGGGAAUAUUGGACAAUGGGCGCAAGCCUGAUCCAGCCAUACCGCGUGGGUGAAGAAGGCCUUCGGGUUGUAAAGCCCUUUUGUUGGGAAAGAAAAGCAGCAGGUUAAUACCCCGCUGUUCUGACGGUACCCAAAGAAUAAGCACCGGCUAACUUCGUG